rnacentral:lncRNA from 1 species
CAGGCCAGUGUUUCCAGCCAUCAUGUCAGAGCUGAGUGGAGUGGCACUGGGUGCCAAGGCAAACACCCAGCCCAGCUGUGCUGGGAAGAACUGAGCUCCAAUGUGUCUUGUGACCCAGCUCCUCCCACCCACCUGGCUGUGUCUCCUAUCCUGCAGAGAUUUCUGGGGGCUGUUUCCAGUAAACAGAGUGCCAGCACCCACUAACCUGUAAAUAGCACCUUGUUCAGGGGGAGUGAUAUUCUUUGACUGUAUGAUUUGGGGCCUUGCUGCUCAAAAUGUGGUCAGCAGCAUUGACAUCACCUGGGAUCUCAUUACAAAUGCAGAAUCUCAGACCUCACUCCAGAUGUGCUGGAUGAGAAUGGCCAUUUUCACAAGCUCCCCAGGAUAUGUGUGCCUGUUAAAGUUUGAGAAGCACUGAUCGGAGGACUUCGGUUAUAAUCCCACCUCCUUCUAUAAGUGAUUAAAGAAAAUUCACUUAUACUCUCCUUUGAACAGCUGUAUGCUUCUCAAUUUCUCUCUCUCUCUCUCUCUCUCACACACACACACACACACACACACUUUAUUUUUCAAUCUCUAUAGACUUGCUUCUUUGUAAGGCUCUCAAUUUCUCCUCCCCAGUGACACAAGCUUGCAUGUGGAUAUAGCUCGUCAUGGUGCCUAUUUAUCUUCAACUUUAUGCAACCUUAGCACUCUUUUACUCAGAAACCUUUUGACUGGGAGAGCAGGGCAAACUCAAAUCCCUACAGAGACCAGGAAGGCAGCAUGGAUGAGUGCAGAAAGCUACAUUUGUUUCAGAAAGGAAUCAGUGUAUAUUCUUUCAGCAGACACAUUUAGUUUGUUUCUUAUAAGCCACUAGAAGAGUCAUUACUUUCACAAAGUCAUAUGCUUAUUCCCAUUUUUCAUAAAAUAUGGCCUAUCUUCAGUUUUCCCAGUUUUGAUACAGAAAAAAAUAUAAGAAAGAUUUUCUAUUUCCUAUAACUAUAAAAGCCCACUAAUAGCACCAGCACAGCCACCCCUGGGCUUCACACAGGGAGUGGCAGGAGCUGUGCAGAUGGAGAGUGCAUACUGGUGUGAAGGGGGCAAUGGAUCUCAGCUCCAGCCAUUGUCUUCAUGCAGGAAUUUGGGACCAUUUUACCGGAUCCUCCCAUUUCUUCAAGAGAAGCCGGAAAUCUGGAUUUCUAUGUGAAAUCUCCCACUUUUUUAUGCUGGCAACUAAUUUUCUUUAAACACUGUGCCAAACAAAACAUACCUGCAGGCCAAAAUCUACACCCUCUGGGCUGGAUUUCAAUGUCUCUUAAACUCUCAACAGAGAGCAUCUUACUGUUUCAGUUCAGGGUAGAUGUCUACCCAUGGUCCCAUCGAGUGGGGUCUGGAUAUGGAAUCAGCUAGAAGAAGCAUAGUCUAUGCCCAUUCUUUCAGCAGGGACUGUGGGCAGGAAACCAUUUCCAAAGAAGCAGGCAUGAGUUGGUGGCCAUACAAAUAUAUAUGUUAUAUUGAUAAAUAUAAAAACAGGAGAUUCUGGGGGACCACAAGUUUUUACAAAUUAGGCUUAUUUUAGGAUAAAUUCACCCUUGUUAGUGUGCAGUUCUGUGAGUUUUGAUAUACAUAUGCAGUCAAGUAACCACUCCCACAAUUAAGAUACAGAAUAAUUCCAUCACCCCCCAAAUUUCUUGUAUGCCCCUUUAUAGCUAGCCCCUGACCCUAACCUCUGGCAAUCACUAAUAUAUUCUCUUUUUCUAUAGGCUUGCUUUUUUUCAAAAUGUCAUAUACAUGGAAUCACACAGUUUAUAGCCUUUUGAGUCUGGCUUAUUUUACUCAGCAUAAUGCCUUUGAGCUUUAACCAUGUAAUUUCAUGUAUCAGUAGUUCAUUCCUAUGUAUUGCUAAGUAAUUUUCCACUGUAUAGAUGCACCACAGUUUGUUUAUCCAUUCACCAAUUAAAGCCAUAAUCAACUUCCAUGUAGAAGUUUGUGUGUGAACACAGUUUUAAUUUAUUUGGGGUUACUACCUAGGAGUGAGAUUCUGGGUCUUAUGGUAAGCAUACAUUUUACUAAGAAACUAUAAAACUCUUUUCCAAAGUGGCUGAACCAUUUGACAUUUCUAACAGCAAUAUUUGAAAGUUCCCAUUGCUCUGUAUCCUCUCCAGUACUUACAUGCUCAGCAUUUUGGUUUGGUCUGGUUUCAUUGUUUCUGAGCUCUUCUGAUAGAUGUGGAGUACACCCCCAUUUUGGAUGAAUUGUGCCAAAUGUGUAGACCAUCCUCAAAAUCUAAGGUCUCAGUAAAAACAAUUAAACAUGAUUUCUGAUAUAAUGUCUUAUCCUUGAAAACCCUGACCCAUCCAUCUUCAGCACAUUCACAUGUGUAAUAAGGUAAGUGAUUUUUAAUUCCACCAGGUUUAAAGACCCCUGACGUGACUUAUUGCCAUUCUGCUACUGAGCCUUGAGAGAUUAUGGUAAGUGCCAAGAAAAAAAAAAUGACUUUGAACUGCUCUUUCACCAGUUAAAAAUAACACUGAAACCAAAUGUAAACAUAAAAGAAGUGGUCAGAUUCGGGUUACAUAUUAACGGUGUUUGGUCAGGCUGGAGCUGAGGCACAGCAGCAGAGAAUGCCUUUUACUUAUCACUGUUUCCAAACCUCCCUACCUGGACUAGGCUUGACUGGAUUUACAAGAGACCUUUUGAAAAGAUGCAGAGAAGGCAAGCAGCACACAUUUCCUGGUAAUAAAUUUUAAAGGUUGCUAAAACAUUCCAGAGAUUUUCACUCAACAUUCCUCUGGCCAACACAUCUGCAAUCUGCCAAUCCUUAAAAAUAGGUGUUUUUGCAUUUUAAUCUCACAAACAUCUUUGAAAAUGCAUUUCUUCUCUGCCCCUGUGUUGGACAAAUCCAGCUUUUUCCAUUUUCUAAAAACCACAGAAAUAUAAUGCUGCUUAAUUCAUACAAGACUGAGCUAACUGGAGUUAAAAUAAAAUUUCUGAGAGUUUGUUUGGCUCACUCUUCCCUACCAGAUGAUUCCAUUCUUAAAACGGUCCUGUGAUUAUAUUCUCUCAUUACAGAGGUGUCCAGAAAAAAAAUAAGGAGUGCAGUUCUGAAAUUAUAUAAAAGCAAAAUUAUUACUCUAAACGUAAGAGCUGUGAUAGAUCGUGUCAUUGACCAUGGUUCUUUUCCCCUGACACACACGUCCCCACCACCCACCCACUGUAUCCAUAUGCCUUUUGCCAUAUGACUUUGCAGCUCUCCCCACUAAAGGGGCAGCCAUGCGAUUUGCUUUGGCCAAUGAAAUGAGGCAGUAGUGGUGGUAUCCUAGUUCUGAGCCUAGGUCUCAAGAAGUCUUAUGUGUUUCUGCUUAUCCUCUUAUACCUCUGCCAUCACCAUGAGCCAAACAUCCCCCAAGUAGCCCACUGGUCCCAGGACAAGGAGGGAGACAUGAAGCAGAGCUCAUCCAGCUGCUGCAGCCCCACUUGACCCAGAGACCUACACUGGGAAGCAGAGCUGCCCAGUCAAGUCCAACCUGGAUGUGUGGAACCCCAGCCAACCUGAUGCAUGAGCACUCACGGCAUUGGAAGACAUCAUAAACAUUAAUGGAGAGCGGGAUGCCAGAAUAAGUUGAUCCAAAUGAUGCAGGAAUAUUUAGCAGCAAGGAGAAAGGAAUUCACAUUUCUCAGUACCCACUAUGUGCCAUACUUUGUGAUAAGAUGGUUUCCCUCCAAUAUAUCCUCAUUGUCAGCAAUGUCGGGAAACAGGAAUCAUUUCCCCUUCUACAGGUGAUAAAACUGAAGCAAGAAACAUACAGGCUAACAUCAGCUGAGCUGAGAUUUGAACUCCACUCUUUUUGACCCUGGAGCUGAUGAAUGCUGCUUCUAGAGGUUGAGUAUCCCUUAUCCGAAAUCCUUGGAACCAGGAGAUUUUUGGAUUUGGGAAUAUUUGCAUAUACAUAAUGAGAUAUCUUGGAGAUGGGACCCAAGUCUAAAUACAAAAUUAUUUUGUUGUAUAUACACCUUGUACACAUAGACUGAAGAUAAUUUUAUACAAUAUUUUAAAUAAUUUUGUGCGUGAAACAAAGUUGUGACUAUGUCUUGACUGUAAGACAUCUUGCAUGCAACCCAUCAUAUGAGGUCAGGUGCAGAAUUUUCCAUUUGUGGUGUCAUGUUAGUGCUCAAAAAUUUUCGGAUUUUGGAGCACUUCAGACUUUCGUUUUCCAGACGGGGGAUGCUCAACCUGUCUUAGAACCUGUGGUCUCCCAUCAUGCCUCCCUUCCCCAUUCCCUUGCUCCACUGGGGUCUGAGGUGGGAAAGCAAAAGGAGUUGCAGGUAACCCUCACUUUUCACACCAGGCAAUCUCUCCCCACAAUCUGUCACAUUCCUGAAGAACAAGGAAGCAGAGCACUCCACUGAAGAAAUUCUGUUAAAAUCUAUCCCCAACGUAUAAGCAUCCAUCUUUGUCCCAGUCUGGGUCUAACAUGAACAAAGUGCUUAAACAAUUCAGUAGAGGAGAAAGGGAACUUGGAGCAGCUCUGUCACCCUGAAGUGACACUGCCAUGCUGCAUUUCCUGUCUGUAAUAUCUCUUCAGAGCAAUUGUUUUCUUCUGUGAGGACACUUCAGAGAUUCACAGAGACAGAUGCUCUUGUGACUGACCAUAGCAAGUAUCAAAAGGCCUGGGUGGAAUUACGAAGCAUUUCUCGUGCACUGCGUAUUGGGAAGUGCUUCACAGCUGUGUGGCAGAUGUGAGUGGACAGAGGGGCAAGGGAACUGCCCCAAAGGAGGUGGCAGAGGAAGCAACAAGCCAGGGAUUGGCUGGCCGGUCCCAGCACAGCAACUGCAGCAGCAGCUUGCUAAGUUUCACAGGUGAAGCCAAAGGCUGGGGGGAAUGGAAAACAAAUAUCACUCCAUUAAAUUAAGGUCUGAGGAAAACAUGAUGAGGAAAGUCAAUAGUGAAUCAAAACAUUGAAAAGCCACUAACUUUGACUUUCCAUGUGCGUGUGCAAGUUCACGUGUGCAUGUGUGUCUGCAUGUCCAAGUUCUACACUGAUUCAAGAAAUAAUUAUAGAGGGCCUGCCAUAGGAUGGUGAGCAAAACAGUCUUGGCCUCUGUCCUGAUGGAGCAUGCAGUAUCACAGACUCUAUAUGUUCUAUUUCUAGGCCUUGUAUUUUGAGGAUAUAUGCCAGUGGAAUGAGAAUGGCUCUGUGACCUUGUUUAAGUCCCACCACUGUCUCAGGCAGGGUUUUCCAAAGUGUAGUCCUUAUACUAUUAUGUGGUGAAGAUGCUUAAUUGUUUUGUAAUUAUUUAAUGUGCGUAGGUAUCACAUCAAACCCAGUAUUUUCAAGGAUUUUUAUAGCUUAAGACAAGGCUUGUUAUAGGCAAGGUGGAUCAAUUCAAAAAAUAUAUGCUAACAAAAUAAUAGUGGAGGUGGUACAAAGAAACAGCAAAGGUAGUGAGAUGGCUUCACUGGUGUUUGUGAAUCACCAAGAUAAUGCACGUGGAAAUAAAAAUCAGUGUGGUCCAUAGAAAUACAAGGGGUUCUAAUUACCCCUCAGUGAGCACUUGCUCUCUCACUCACCCCAGCAAUGACAUAUUAAGCAAAGCACUGCCCUGACUGCAUAUGCUCUUGCCGACAACUUGGCCAGCAUUCAGAAGACACUAAGUGUGCUCUGGGAACUUCAGAAGGCACUAACAUUCCAUGGAGAACUUCACAAAGAGUGAGACCUAGUCCCUGGCCUAAAGAGAGUAUAAUUUAGUAGGAAAGAGAAGACAAACACACAAAUAACUGUAAAAUGGGAUAAGCCCCAAAGUGGAGGUACAAAGUCCCAUAGAAGAGGCUCAAUGAUAAGUCACGCCUGCCGGGUAAGGUCAAGAAAGACUUCAUGGAGAUUUGAGAUGGCAUCUGAGAUAAGCCAGGAAAGACGGUAGAAUUUCAACAACCAAAAAAGUGGGGAGAGGGAUGGGAGGCAUUCCAGAGAAGGAGAAAUGCUUGAGCAAUGGUACAGAGACCAGGAAGUUAUAUGAGGGCAGAAAGUCCCUGCUGUCUAUUUAGCUGGGAUAUAGAAUGCAAGUCAGUUAGAUGAUUAGGUGGGGUUAUAACAUAACUAGCCUUAAAUAGUGGACUGAGAAUUUUCCACUUAAUUUAAUGCAAAUGGCAGGGGAGGGGGCAGGCAAUGGAGAGCUGAAAACAGGACUGGAGAUGCGCUGGAGGGAAGUAACCCUGGAAAUGGGUGAAGUACGGGUUACUGUCACCCCAGCUCUGGUUCUUGUUAUUCCCUAGGAGAAGCAUAAUAGAAGUGUGAAUUUAGGGUAGCCAAAUGAUGACUUUGCAGAGGGAAUCUUUAGGACUUGUGACUUGAUUAAAAGCAGGGAGAUGGAUAGGGAACGUCCAAGGAUAACUAGAUAACUAGAGCUCUCCUGUUCCUCUGACUCAUGUGUGCUGAAACUGUAGAGUCAAACAAACACUUGUAAGUGGCGUGAUGUAAAUCCCUUAGGGGCCCAUGCCUGCCUCAAGAGAAGAACGUGUGGUCAGGAAAAACGACCGGGGGAAGUGAAAACGACACAAGACCCAGAGGAUAACCCUUAUUUUAUUCACACAUGCAAAUUUAGGCACAGCAAAAAGCAAAACGAAGUAUACCAAAUGUCAAGGGUUAAUUAUUAAUCAUUUCUAUAUUAAAUUAUGAGUUUUUCAGUAAGACACUUUUUGAUAAGAAACUUGAAUUACGUUCAUAACCAUCAAAAUAAAGAAAAUAAAAGAGACAGAUUUUCUUUGGUGGUGGGAGAACAUUAAGUAUUGUGGAAGCCUGAAAAAUGGUCCCCAAAAGAAUCUGGUCCUAAUCCUUAGAACUUGUGAGUAUUAUCUUACUUGGAAAAAGGGUUGUUUUAAGAUAAGGAUCUUGAGUUGGGAAGAUUGUCCUGAGUUAUUCAGGUAGGCUGUAAAUGCCAUCACAGGCAACCUUUUUACAUGGAUAUUUGACACAGAGUGGAGGAGACACCCAUAGGAGAAGGCUAUGUGAAGACAUAGCAUCGAGACACUUGAAGAUAUUGGCCUUCAAAUGGCACAGCCACAAGCAAAGGAAUGCCAGCAGCCACCAGGAAAAAGCAAAGAAUGGAUUCUCACCUAAAGUCUCCAGAGGGACUGUAGAGUAUCCUGCCAACACCUUGAUUUUGACUCUGUGAAACUGAUGUCAGGCUUCUGGCCUCCAGAACUGUGAGAGAAGAAAUUUCUGUUGUUUUAAACCUUCGAAUUUGUGGUAAUGUGUUAGAGCAGCCACAGGAAACUCAUAUUCUAAACUAGCAACUAUGAAAUGAGAAUUUCUAGUGUUCAGCUAAGAUACCACCGCAGAAGCAGCUGGAUAAUAUCAGAUGAGCCGAAAACUUCUCUUACCCCAUUUCCUUAUCCAUAAAAUUAGCAAAUAAUACCUGUCUUGCAGAGUUAAUUUUAAAGUUAUACAAGUAAAUACACUUUGAAAGUGACAAGUACUAGAAAAAUGUAGGGAAUUAUCCUACAAGUCUGGGUAUCCCCACCACCCAAGGCACAUGAAUGAUGCACAAUAAAAUAUACAAUUGGUUAGAAAUAGAACAAAGUGUUGAAAGUGCUUCAAAGCUCGAAAUGUAGGGCAUGAGGAAUGAAGGAAAUUCAGUUCAGGAAUAAAAUAUUUAUUCAGCAUCACUAAUAAGCCAGGCACUCUGCCAGAACCCAAAGGUAUAAAGAGGAACAAAUGAUAAUUCCUGCCCUGUGGAUGGCUUAUAGUCUAGGGUAGCAUUUUUACAGUGUGUUCACAGACCACUAAGCUCUCAAAUUUCUAUUUAAAGAUGCCAAAGGACCCAAGAUCAAGUGCUAUAUUCUAAUAUCUACCCUCUCCAUUUCCUACCCCCUCCCACAACCACACUUUCUGUAGACUCACAAUGUGUUAGUUAAUUUAAGGCAUUGAGUCCUGUUGUUAAUAAGCUGACUUGCCCUUAAUUAUCACAGGCUUUUCCAAAUUUCCUUGACAUGCACUAACCAUUUAACCUUGGGGAAAAGAAUGGAAUAACAUUCUUGCCUGCCUGUUGUAGCUGUCAUCAUAUUUAAAUGUAAUAAAACAUGGAAAGUGUUUAAUAAUUAUGGUGCUCUAGGCAAAAUAGCAGUCCUUCAAAAAUGCCCAUGCCCUAAUCUCCAGAACCUGUGAAUAUGUUACCUGACAUUGUAAAGCAACCUUGUAGGUGUGAUUAAAGUUACAAGCUCUGAGAAGAGAAAAUUACUCUGGAUUAUCUGGGUGGGCCCAGCUUAAUCAUAUGAACCCUUAAAAGUGGAGAAUGUUUUCCAGCUAAGGUCAGAGAAAGAGACUUGACAAAGGAAGAAGGGUCAUAGGGAUGUGAUACCGCUAGCUUUAGAGAUGAAGGAAGAGGACCACAGCCAAGAAAUGUGGGUAGCCUCUGAACACAAUACAAGGCAAGGACACGGGCUCUCUCCUUGAGCCUCUAGAAGGAGCACAGCCAUAAGGCAUUCUUAAACUAUGUCGCUUACCUUACCUACCUCAUCCACUUACUACUUGUAUGGCUAAUGGCAUGAGGAAGUCACUAAAACUCUCCGAGCCUUCCUGGCCUCCACUUAAAUGGGAGUGGUACCCACAGAGGGUCAGGAGGCUCAAUCAAAUCUCAAAUUCAUUAUCUCUUGCUUCUCAUGCACAAGUCAGUGUCAGCAGGAGGCAUCAGUGCUUCUGCAAAAAUAACUAAUUCAACAUUACUUUGUCAGAUCACAACCCUUCUUUGCUAAAACCUUCCAGAGGCUCCCUGUCUCACUCACAGAACAACCUCAUGGACUUCCUCUGUUCUCAGGAUUCUCAUGACACAAUAUGACCCCAUUUCCUCUGACUAUAGGUCCUUCCUCUCUCCCCCUUCCUGAUGGUGCUCCAGCCAUACUGGCCACCUUGCUGUUCCUGAGGCACACCAGGCAGCUUCCAGCCUCAGGACAUUUGCACUUGCUGUUUUCUCUGCUUAGAGCCCUCUUCCCCCAUAUCCACAUAGCUUGCUCCCUCAACUCCUUUAGAUCUUCAUUCGGCUAUUACCUUCUUCCUGAGGCCUUCCCUAACAACCCUAUGAAAAUUGCAAUACCUGCCAGCCAAACAUUCCCCAUCCUCCCUUCACUUUAAUUUCCGCCAUAGUAAUUUCAUCUUCUCACAUGCUGCAUAUUUAACUGUUUUGUUUACUUUCUUUCCUCCAUUGGAAUAUAAGCUCUAUCAGGGCUUUUCAUGAAGGACAUGCAAGUAGAUGCUUGAUAAAUAUUUGUUGGAUAAAUAAAUCAGUGCAUAUACCAAUCUGAAGUCACAAAAUCAAUAUGAGCAUCACCUUCCACUAAAGACAUAUCCUUUCAGUUAUCGAUGAAAAAUGAAGUUGAAAACACAAUAAUCAGCCUGUCAUUGAACAAUGCAGCUGCAGCUAAGAUCAAGUUCUUGACUGACUUUGCCGAGCCCAACCAAUUCAAAGGAAGAAUAAAAACAUGGUCAAGGGACCCAAGACCCAGCUCUUAUCCCCUACUCAGAGAAAACCCAGAGAGAACCAGCCUUCUGAUGUCUUGUCCUUCCUGGUUUUGACCAACCUCUAAAAACCAUAAGAACAGUUUGUCUCAGUAUUUCAGUACUUCCGCUUCCAGGCCCAGGAAAGAGCAGGAAGUGCAGGGGCGUGUGAAAAUCAAGAAAAAAGAAGAAUUAAACCCGCUACACAUGAAGCGCUCAAAGACUUCCUCUGUAACCUGUUGCAGCACACGAGUUUCAAUGUGCUUUCACUGAGAGCCCAGGGGGACUGUGCUGUCCCCAGAAUUUCGCACCAUGCCCCACACUCUCAAUGAACACUUGUUG